rnacentral:rRNA from 1 species
AAAUUGAAGAGUUUGAUCAUGGCUCAGAUUGAACGCUGGCGGCAGGCCUAACACAUGCAAGUCGAGCGGUAGCACAGAGAGCUUGCUCUCGGGUGACGAGCGGCGGACGGGUGAGUAAUGUCUGGGAAACUGCCUGAUGGAGGGGGAUAACUACUGGAAACGGUAGCUAAUACCGCAUAACGUCGCAAGACCAAAGUGGGGGACCUUCGGGCCUCAUGCCAUCAGAUGUGCCCAGAUGGGAUUAGCUAGUAGGUGGGGUAAUGGCUCACCUAGGCGACGAUCCCUAGCUGGUCUGAGAGGAUGACCAGCCACACUGGAACUGAGACACGGUCCAGACUCCUACGGGAGGCAGCAGUGGGGAAUAUUGCACAAUGGGCGCAAGCCUGAUGCAGCCAUGCCGCGUGUAUGAAGAAGGCCUUCGGGUUGUAAAGUACUUUCAGCGAGGAGGAAGGCGUUAAGGUUAAUAACCUUAGCGAUUGACGUUACUCGCAGAAGAAGCACCGGCUAACUCCGUGCCAGCAGCCGCGGUAAUACGGAGGGUGCAAGCGUUAAUCGGAAUUACUGGGCGUAAAGCGCACGCAGGCGGUCUGUCAAGUCGGAUGUGAAAUCCCCGGGCUCAACCUGGGAACUGCAUUCGAAACUGGCAGGCUAGAGUCUUGUAGAGGGGGGUAGAAUUCCAGGUGUAGCGGUGAAAUGCGUAGAGAUCUGGAGGAAUACCGGUGGCGAAGGCGGCCCCCUGGACAAAGACUGACGCUCAGGUGCGAAAGCGUGGGGAGCAAACAGGAUUAGAUACCCUGGUAGUCCACGCCGUAAACGAUGUCGACUUGGAGGUUGUGCCCUUGAGGCGUGGCUUCCGGAGCUAACGCGUUAAGUCGACCGCCUGGGGAGUACGGCCGCAAGGUUAAAACUCAAAUGAAUUGACGGGGGCCCGCACAAGCGGUGGAGCAUGUGGUUUAAUUCGAUGCAACGCGAAGAACCUUACCUA